AUGCAAUGCAUUGGACCAUCGUUUGAUGGUUUUGCCCAUUUACCUGCGUUGGAGACUAGGGGUGGAAUCCUCCUGGGUUGGAGUAGUGCAUGUCUAACUAUAAACAACAUCAUUUGCGACACCAAUUUCCUCUUCGGCUUGGUGCAUAGUAGAGAUGGCUCGGAGUGGUGGCUCUCGGUGGUGUAUGGCCUCCAAGGGGAUGAGCUUAAGACGCAAUUUCUUGUCGAUCUCUAGCACCGUAGGGACAUGUCCCCGGGGCCUUGGAUGGUGCUUGGUGACUUUAACAUGAUCCUUCGCGCCAAUGAGAAGAACAACCCUAACCUCAACAGGAGCAUGAUGAGGAAGUUCAAGACGUUUGUGGACAACAAUGAGCUUAAGGAGCUAUACAUGCACGGUAGGCGUUUCACUUGGUCUAAUGAAAGGGAUCAGGCUGCGUUAAUAAAGAUCGACCGGGUCCUUGUCUCGGUUGACUGGGAGCUCAACUUUCCUAAUGUGUUGCUCCAAGCCCUAUCUUCUAACAUCUCGGAUCUUCCGGUUUGA
rnacentral:rRNA from 1 species